rnacentral:misc_RNA from 1 species
CCGGUAAACAUCCACUAUCUUCCAUUCCUCUAAACACCUUGUAUGCUUCAUCCAGCAAUUCCUCUUUGCAAAGUCCUUUAAAUAUUGUACCAUAUGUAUAAACAUCAGGCUGCAAGCCUUUUUCAAAAAGCCUAGAAAAAAAUUCCUUGGCAUCCUUAAGCUUCCCAGCUCUGCACAAACCAUUUAUCAAAAUGUUAUAGCACAUGUGACCAAGCUUCAACAGACUUUGUUCCAUCGCUUUAAAUAGCAUGAGUUCCUCACCAAUAUUCCCCUGUUUGCACAAGCCAUCAAGAAAAGUAGAGAAAGUUGUUAUAUCUGGCUGAUUACCAUGAGAAAACAUGUUCUUGAAAAGAAAGUGUGCAAUCCCGGGCUUCCCUGCAUUCCACAAGCCUUG